GUAGGGGGCAAGCGUUAUCCGGAUUUACUGGGUGUAAAGGGAGCGUAGACGGCUGUGCAAGUCUGAAGUGAAAGCCCGUGGCUCAACCGCGGAACUGCUUUGGAAACUGUAUAGCUUGAGUACUGGAGAGGCAGGCGGAAUUCCUAGUGUAGCGGUGAAAUGCGUAGAUAUUAGGAGGAACACCAGUGGCGAAGGCGGCCUGCUGGACAGAAACUGACGUUGAGGCUCGAAAGCGUGGGGAGCAAACAGGAUUAGAAACCCUAGUAGUCCUAG
rnacentral:rRNA from 1 species